rnacentral:pre_miRNA from 1 species
AGUGGAAUUUCUGGCUUACGUAGAAAGUACAUGUUUAACAUUUUGAAAAAUUGCCAAACUGUUCUCCAAAGUGGCUAUAUCAUUUUAAUUUCCAUCAGCAAU